rnacentral:sRNA from 1 species
GCUAGGCGUGGUGGCCCAUGCCUGUAAUCCCAGCAGCGAAGGGGGCUGAAGCAGGAGGAUUGCAAGUUCAAAGCCAGUCUCAGCAUCUU